rnacentral:misc_RNA from 1 species
UGUAUUGUUGAAUUGAUUCAGUCUCAUUUUACAAUGCUGUCAUUAAUGUUUGUGUUUUAAUAGUUUUUAUUUCUCUUGUUGGCAAUGCUGUCUUACUGUUAUUAUCUUAUAGAAUACUGUCUUCCAACAGUGCUUUUACUCUCAGAUGUCAAAAAUUUUUAGUACAAAGCAUCUAUCUUAAACUUUAAAAUUUACUACUAUUUCAG